UCGGACAUCCGCCAUUGCCGUGGCCGUAGCCCUUGUAUGGAACAAGGGUUCGCCCGUUUGCUAGCGGCUCUGUUCUGCUAGCUGAUCGCUAGAUGGUAAACCGUCCAUACGAUAAGCAGCCCCGCUCGUCGUCUCUAGAAGCUUUUUGGCGAAAGUCGACAGCCGUUGCAAAGAGGGGCUGGUGACAUGGCUCUUUCGAGGAGUGCAGGAAGUAAAGGUAGAAUAAGAAACACCAAUGGAACGUCGAGCUCCAUACCAUGCGGUGGUUCAUCGUUUCUUCAAGGUAAGCCCACCUCAGUGUAAUUUACUCAUUUCAGAUGAGAGCAACUACGUCUUGUUUGUUUUUAUACGGGAAGCUAAGCACACAUGCAGUUUUAACGCUUUAUGGAUAUUUUUGCUUAAAGCCGUUCCGGCGCUUUACUCCAGGUAGUACAACGUUUUUGUAACCUUUUCCUUUUGUUUUACGCAGUGGUGGCUCCUCUUUACGCUCUUGGUUAAUAAUACAUUAUCCGUAGAUAUUACUCUGUAUUUAUUAGGAUCAUUUUAUUGGUUACUAGAAUAUAUUCAGUUAACUCAAUUUGGCUUCUAAAGGAAUUUAUGCGAUUGCCAUACAUGCAAGUUCACUUAUAAAGCAUAGCUUUUUAAUUCACAUUUUUUUACCCAUUCCUGACCAUAAAUUAGACUAUGGGCCUUUUGCAAAUCUAUAUGCUCUCGUUACUUACAUGCGUUUGGAACUACUGUGCACACAAAGAUUCAUAGGACAACGGACAGAUUAUUUCACAGUUGCUGUAUGUAUGAUCGAUUGACCUACUCCUUGCCCUAACCUCCUUGUACUUGCGGUACGCUUGGCCAAAUUGAUCAGACACAUGGCUUGAGAAGCCAUGUGUCUGAUCAGUUCCAAUUCUUUCGUUUUGGUUACCUGAACCACUUAAUUCGUGAUAACCUUCUAUUAAGUUUCAUAUAGUAUAUAUUCUCAAAAGGUCAUAGGGAAGAUCAAGAGAGUAAACCUUGUCCUUUGGCGAUAUCUACUUCUUUUAUAAAACAGUUCAAAGGAUGGAAGGCUCGUAUUGCUGAUACUUUGAUACCUGUGCUCGAGGAUUAUUGAUUUAAGUUACAAUUCUGAGCUGCGGUCUUGUUAAAAGUAUAACUUGUACGACUUGACACGCGCAAAGACUUUUUCGUUAUCUUGCCUAAGUCGUUUUCCGAAGCCAAAGCCACUUUAUUUGAGUAUCCUAGCCUUUUGGACGAAUUCGCCAUAGACUCUAAGAAGUUUCUCUCGUUUCACUGUGAUCCACUCCAUGAGGCUCGUUGAGUGCUGCCUAAAGUUCAUUCAAUAGCAGCCUGUGCUGUAUCCUUGCUUGCUACAUUACUUCUACUUAUCUAACCGCUGCAGCUACCCAGCUUUUCUUAGGUUUCAGCCCUUAACAAACGAAGUCAGCUUGCAAAUCUUAACGUGCUAAGAAAGUUUUGCAGUCCACCGGGAAAGCCCUUCAACUUAACAUGCCUAACGCAUUAAAAAUAGUUUAGCAGUGCAGUCAGCUGGGGCCAGGACUCGGACACAACUAUUUUGUACACUCUCACGUAUCCCGAGCGAUUAGCUAAAUACACAAAGAGACACACUCCAUUAAGCCUUUUAGACUUUUCAGUCUGAGUCGCAGGGUACAAGUGGCCGUAGCAUAAAAAGGCAGAGCAAAAAAAGAAUACCGUUAUUAACAACGGCUACCAUUACGACACUUUGUCUGUCGGCCAGUUAACAGCGAACCAGCAGACGACUCCUUUAACGAUGCCAAGUGCCUUCCUUUUAUAUCACCUGCUUGUCCCUUCUGUAACGUUUUCGCUAUUCACUUGGUGCCUCUUGUCCUCGUCUUCUGCGGCGAAGACAUUCCUAUAUACCCCUUGUUGCAAGAGUCGAUUCCUGCACAUUUCCAGACUUCCUGCACAGCCUUAACUGUCGUUUGUUUAACGGAGCGGGAGUAGCACUUGAUAAUAUUAUGACUCAGCGACGGGGUAGUGAGCGCAAUUCGUGGGCGAAAAGGAUGUGGGAAGCUGAGUGGACUUCAUCUGUGCUGUGUUAGCACAGCUCCGUCGCCUUCAGUGUCGUGAUCAUUCUCAGAUGCAGCUUCAUUAAACUUAACUGCCUUUGCCAUCUUCCAUGUUUUUAAACGUUUUGAUAAUGGGAAAACAGCGCUGGCAGUUGUGCCUCUUGUAACGCUACAUACAACCUCGCGAUGUAAAAGUAUCAGAAGGUAAGUAUAUAGCCUGUCUACUAUGGGUGUACUGACCCUGAAUUAUCUAGAAGCUUUCUCGACACGUAUUAUCGCUAUUACCCUUCUUAUUUUCUUACCCUAUUUCUCAUUAAUCAUGUCCGGUUUAUUAUCGCUCUAGAGGUUAUUUUUUUCUCUUCUUUACGUUUCAUCUUUUUGGCACUGUAGGCAUUUUAGAUCAAGUUGGGGUCGCAAGCAGAGGCCCCCGACUUCGGCUACCGCCUGCUAACCUCAGCUACUAUAGUUUCCUUCCUGUAAAUCGAAGUCUGGGAUACCUGCACCUAAAGCCUGGUCAGCUAAGUCUCGCCCAUCAACCUCCGCAUCAUUCUUCACAGCCGUUUGCCGAAAAUAAAGACAAAGCAUCUCUUGAGGUGGAUGGCCUUUCACGAGGCGGCAGCGACUUCCUCAUAUGCUUGGUGACAGUGACUGUACAUCUCGCACCAACUCGAUCCGUUACUUACUGCCUAUAGCAUAUGACAGGCAAAGCAGCAAUUAAGGCCGCGACCGCCUUUGAUUUUGAUUGCCAUUU